AAGUAGAGUGGCGAACGGGUUAGUAACGCGUGGGAACAUACACAGCACAGGGGGAUAACCAUUGGAAACGAUGGCUAAUACCGCAUACGCCCUAUUGGGGAAAGAUUUAUCGGUGUUGGAUUGGCCCGCGUUAGAUUAGCUAGUUGGUGGGGUAAUGGCUCACCAAGGCGACGAUUUAUAGCUGGUUUGAGAGGAUGAUCAGCAACACUGGAACUGAGACACGGUCCAGACUCCUACGGGAGGCAGCAGUCGGGAAUAUUGUGCAAUGGGGGCAACCCUGACACAGCCAUGCCGCGUGAGUGAAGAAGGCCUUAGGGUUGUAAAGCUCUUUCAGAUGUGAGGAUGAUGACGAUAGCAUCAGAAGAAGCUCCGGCUAACUUCGUGCCAGCAGCCGCGGUAAUACGAAGGGAGCUAGCGUUGUUCGGAAUUACUGGGCGUAAAGGGCGUGUAGGCGGAUUAUCAAGUUAGGGGUGAAAU
rnacentral:rRNA from 1 species